CUACUCCUCACAAAAGGUUGGGCCAUAAUUCAGUAUAAGGAUUAAAUCAAUGUCAUAACGCAACGGGUAUCUUGCACACCUCACUUUAGAGACAACACACACAUCCUUAAGUGUCAUAACACACCGGGUGUCUUGCACACCUCACUUUAGAGACAACACACACAUCCUUAAGUGUCAAUAACACACCGGGUGUCUUGCACACCUCACUUCAGAGACAACACACACAUCAUUAAGUGUCAAUAACACACCAGGUGUCUUGCACACCUCACUUUAGAGACAACACACACAUCCUUAAGUGUCAUAACACACCAGGUGUCUUGCACAUCUCACUUCAGAGACAACACACACAUCCUUAAGUGUCAAUAACACACCAGGUGUCUUGCACACCUCACUUCAGAGACAACACACACAUCCUUAAGUGUCAUAACACACCGGGUGUCUUGCACAUCUCACUUCAGAGACAACACACACAUCCUUAAGUGUCAUAACACACCGGGUGUCUUGCACAUCUCACUUCAGAGACAACACACAUCCUUAAGUGUCAUAACACACCGGGUGUCUUGCACAUCUCACUUCAGAGACAACACACAUCCUUAAGUGUCAUAACACACCGGGUGUCUUGCACAUCUCACUUCAGAGACAACACACAUUCUUAAGUGUCAUAACACACCGGGUGUCUUGCACAUCUCACUUCAGAGACAACACACAUCUCAUUUAUCAAAGGGACACUAUACCCAGUUUAUAAAAAAAGUGGAUUUUAGCGUAAUAUCUCACCUUUCUUAAAUAAACUGCAACAUUAUGAUUGAAGGGCUAAAUCUUUUCCCUUUUACAUGAGGUUAAAAGUAGACUUUCAAAAUGUAAGUGUGAUUUAUGAGGCAUUUAAUCGCCUUCAUUGUUUAUAGCGAAAGCAAAUUGUUUUGGAUACUCUUGUCAUGAAAAAGGACUAAUUUAUGCUAUUCUUCCUGGCUAUGAGCAGUUGUAUUGCUUUCAAAUCAAAUAAGUUUGCUAAAAAGUAAAAUACCAGAUACACCCAUGUGGGUGUGUCAUAAGAAUGUUUCUGAUGAGCAGUCUGUAUUUUCAUCUAUAAAUAAAAAUUUUAUGCAAAGAGUGUAUCCUACACUAAUCUUGGAUAUUGACAUAAUUACCCAACAUAUUAUUCAUGAUCAUGAUUCGUUAUAUUUAAAAUAAUUUUGUAUAAACUCAAAUCACAAAAAAUCCAUCUUAUUUUAUUGAUCUAGAAUUAUAAUGUAGCAGCUAAACUUAGCUGCUAUAAACAUUAUAGUACAUUCCUAGAAAUGUUUCUGCUAUCCGAGUGAAGAUAACCCGUGGUGGUUUUUUCACUGCCAUCACCUAAUGUAUUUUGGCCUGGACAUUACAAAAUUAACAAGUUGCAUUGUUACGUGGACCUUUGUCACAGGGCAUGCUGCAUGUGUUAUUCUUUGUUGCAUUUUGUAUUUCUGUAGGUUUAUAUUGGUAGAAAUCAUUAUUACAGGUACUGUAUUGCAUUACCUGUGUGACUAUUGUUUACUAGUGAGUCCCAGCUCACAGUCACUUGUUUGUAUAUCUUGUUGAAAGGACAUUAGUGGGUAUGGCUAAGUGAAUGUGUGUGAACGGUAUAUGUGUAUGUCUUGCUUAUCUAUGGCUUUUUACAUUCCCUCUAACUUUCUUAAUAAGUAUCAAAUUUCAUAUUUGAUAGUGUCUCUUCAUGAUCAACCAUAUAUGUUGGUGUUUAUCAUUGGCUAUCAAUACAGUUGACUGCAGUCACAGCUAGGACUUGGCUUUAUAGUAAUAGCCUCAGCUGGUUACCGAAAUACCUCUUGAUGCUAGCUUGCACAACACACUAUGACAGUGUGCUGUCAUAGUGUCAGUGUCAUAGUUGGUAGUCACUUGUCAAUAGCAAAAUGAUUUCUGUAAGCUCUCUUAAAGAAAUUGUGAUGUUCCAAACUAGUAAUAGGAGCAACCUAUGUUGUAGACACACACAGAGAUGUCAGUAGACUUUGAACAAAUCCACGAGGGUUCAAACCUACGUCCGAGAAGAUCCCAGGCGCUGCCUUAAUCAUUUGAUGCAUCAGGCGAGGAGUCACAAUAACGUGGCUGAAGUAUGUUGACCAGACCACACACUAGAAGUUGAACGGACGACGACGUUUCGAUCCGUCCUGGACCAUUCUCAAGUUGUCAAUUCCACUCUCAAUUCUCAUUCUCAAGUUCUCAUUCUCGACUAGAGAAUGGUCCAGGACGGACCGAAAUGUCGUCGUCCCUUCUACUUCUAGUGUGUGGUCUGGUCAACAUUUGAUGCUUCAUUUUGUUCAUUUGUUGCAUCACGCUAUUGUGAUUUCUGUGUGUAGUGUCAGUAGACUUUAUUUGAAGGUAAAUCUUUGUUUGUAAUGGGCUAUGAAAUCAAAGAGUUUAUACUGCAUAUUUAAUAAUAAUUCUAAUAAUGUAAACAAAAUCCAUCCUUCCAGUUAUAAUUUUCUCCAUUCUGAUAGAGUAGUUUACACUAUAGGUAUAUAUCCAGUCAUUGUUGUCUUGGCCAAGUGGUGAACCUUCACUACACUAUAGGUAUAUAUCCAGUCAUUGCUAUCUUGGCCAAGUGGUGAACCUUCACUACACUAUUGGUAUAUAUAUC